CCACCUUUGACAUGUAUGGAAGUUUCCAGAGAUGGAUUCGUGCUCGAAAGAGAGCCAUAACACAGGUGCUGCAUGGCUGUCGUCAGCUCGUGUCGUGAGAUGUUGGGUUAAGUCCCGCAACGAGCGCAACCCUUGUCAUUAGUUGCUACAUUCAGUUGGGCACUCUAAUGAGACUGCAGGUGACAAACCGGAGGAAGGUGGGGAUGACGUCAAGUCCUCAUGGCCCUUAUAGGUGGGGCUACACACGUCAUACAAUGGCCGGUACAAAGGGUCGCAAACCCGCGAGGGGGAGCCAAUCCAUCAAAGCCGGUCGUAGUCCGGAUCGCAGUCUGCAACUCGACUGCGUGAAGUCGGAAUCGCUAGUAAUCGUGGAUCAGCAUGUCACGGUGAAUACGUUCCC
rnacentral:rRNA from 1 species